GCAUUGAAACACCAGUUCUUGUAGGAUCACAAAAGUUAAGCAACAUCGAGCAUGAUCAGUACCUAGAUGGGUGACUGCUUGGGAAUAUCAGGUGCUGUAAU